AAAAUGUUUAUAAAUGUGAUUUCUAUCUGUCUCUCAAAAUAUCUUAUUGUACCCUAUUUUUUUGUGAUCAUGUGGGAUGAAACCAUGCCUAUGUAAGGAGAUGAAGUGAGCUAAAUGACAUAGGUAUUGUGAUGCAGUCUUGGAGGACUACAUCAGGCUACUACAUAUUGACAACUCCAACACAAGCAUUGCCAUACCUUGACAGUCAAUCUGAUAUCCCAGACAGCUAAGAAGUGACUAACGGGCAGGUAGCAUACAUAAUAUGGAUACAUUGGACAAAGGGAUGAUUUAUGUCCCAGCCGAGAUAGGGUGGGAUGACAUGAUAUUUCUUCACAUGACUCAAGUCAGUGCAUAAUUUAAAACUUGUGAAUUGUUUAUUUCUGGAAUUGAUCAUUUAAUAUUAGACAAAAGUAAAUUGAAACUGCAGAUAAAUGUAGACUGCUGUAUAAAAUUGGCCAAACAAUUGAGUGGUGAACUAUUAAUGAUCAUAUAAGGCAAAUGACAAUAUGGUAGAACUAACCAAGCUAAUAAUCAAUUAUCAAUGAAAAACGAGUCUAGAACAGGAAUAUUUAAAACAUUUAAAUGUUUAAAAUAGCUGAACUAAGCCUUUGAAUUAUAUACGAUAUGGUAAUACUAAUUGUUCUUUUACAGUGUUCCUUAUCCAAGUUGUGGUGUGAUAUAUAAAAUGGCGCACACACACUUCCUUAGCAUCUCUUAUAGAAAGGCACCCGGAGGUAUACUGAAUGGCUACUGGUUUCUGUCCUUUAUGUAUCCAAGUUCCCAGAGGGGACAGGCUGGAGCUCUCAAGACUAUGGAGCCAUGGGUUAUGGAGAAGAAUGUGGAGAGUUUGGCAGAUCUUGCCAGGCAGUGUAGCCUUGGGAGGAGAGAGGCCGGGUCCCUGGUUCUGAUGAAUUCCGCAGGCCAGCGCCUCCAGUGGAAGCCACAAAACAGGUGCUAAGUAACUGGGAAAUGUCAGGAGGCGAGUCAUUAUCCCCAGCUCCCAGCAGGACUCAAGACCUAGAAAUCAACCCCAUGGAUUUUAACCAGCAUGGACACCCACCACCACGGCGACAAGGUCCAGCUGGGGCCAUGGUGGAUUUGAAAAUGAACAUGAGGACCCCGGAGCUCGGAAGCUGGCUAGCUGCUCAUAUUCAUCCUCCAAUAACACGACCUUUCAUUUUACAUAACUGAAUUUGUUGGAUUCCACUCAUGGCAUGAUAGCAGACUUUCAUUAUGUAUUUUUCUUUCUUUUAAGAGUACAUUCUGUUAUAAGGGUAAUAUAUACAUUUGAAAAAAAAAUAACCUCACCCUACAGACAUGUUGAAAGCAGAAGCCCUUUAUUCACACUCUCAAGACUUAACAACUAUAACAAAUCUAUGUUAUGUUGGCUUUUAUUUAUGUAUGUAUUAAAAUGGAACUGAAGAAGAGAUUUGUUUGGCAAAAAUUCAAUAUUCCUAUUAGACACUAGCGUGCAUAC
rnacentral:lncRNA from 1 species